rnacentral:misc_RNA from 1 species
ACCCACACACACACACACACUCAAAAAAAGAGGCAUCUCUGGAAGAUGAUGCGCAAAUUGCAUCAUCUUGCACUUUUUAAUCAUUUGUUCAUACACAAGGACACUUCACUUAAUCUUUUAAUUAGUUCCUCACAGACAUUAAGAUCACGAAGUGGAAGAAGAAAUAUUCCCACCAGGAAAAUUAAAAUAAACAAUGCUCAUUCCAUUAACUCAAUACACAAAUCCUUAAAACCGCAUUUUCCAAGGAUAAUAAUAUAACUAUGACUCACAUCUAAAUGGAAUGCGAUAUGAAUUUUAUCCAUACCCAAUGCUGAUAAGAAAUAUUAUACACAAAAACGAAGAUGCAGCAUAAGAGCUAUCAUCCCAGAGAAAAAUGUGAGAGAACACAUUGUAGCAUUAUCAUUCUUGGAAACAAAGAAAAUGAUAACAAGAAAUGACUACCAGCGGACGAAUUUUAGCUGCUUCCACUACAAUUAAGAUCAAUAAAACUCAAAUCAUCCUAUUGCAACACUAAAUACUUCAUUCAUUCAUUGGAUAUUUCUUAAUCAUUUGUUCAUAGAAUAACAAGUUAAACAUAGCAGAUGAGGCACUUCCGGGAAAAAUUACAGGACUCAAUAAACUAAAACUCAAUUACAAGAAAACACAUUACAAUUCGAAAAUUACCCAACUUCCAAAUGAAUCCAUUAAAGAAAAAUUAAGAUUCAAAAUUCAAUAUCAGCAAAGCAGGAAUAUAAAAGAGAGGAAUUAAAUCAAGCAAAUUGAGAUCUAUGACAAUGAUCUUACUCUGCAGAGACUCCAAGCGGAGCAUAAGCCACAAGCUUAGUGAAGCUGAAUUAGGAGGGUUCAGAGAAAGAGAGAGAGAGAAAGAGAGAGAGAGAGAGAGAGAG